GUUACUGUAUGGAUUACUCUCGGUCUCUUUGUUUGCUCAUCGACAUUACGAGGUCAUGUACACUGUGGUCAACUUUGUGGACGAUGAAGAGGUUUCUGGGUAAAGAUGAUAGAAAUAUAACAAAGUAACAGUGGAAGCUAAAACAUCAGACUGAUCCAGACACUGAAGAAAUUGAUGUCACUGCAAUCUGGCCAAAAUGAUACAACAAUAUUGAACUAGCCUACUGUAAUGAGCUGCAGAACAACACAGAAAAUGAAGGCUCCAAAGAGAUGUCUGUCCAGAUGAGGGUGCAUCAACUUUACCUUUGCUGACAACAGUUAACUUAACUCAAACCAUUUAAGGAAAUCGGUUGCCUUAAACCAUUAAGUUUUAAAAAACAUACAUUUGAGUACUGUGAACUUAAAGGAACAGUAUGUAAGAAAUUUAUAUCAAUUAAUCAUUAAAUGGCCCUGAUAUGUCACUAGAAAUUAAGAAAUCAUUUUCAUUUCAAAUACUUAUAUCACUGACAACAGUGGUCUGGCCAGGAUAUUGUCAUUUAAAAAGUGGAGUUGCAGCCCUCAACUGAUGUUUAUGUUGUCAUUUUGUGUAUUGGCCACAGCUGUGUGAUUGCAGUACCAGUUUUAGCCACAUGUUUUGUGAUUGCAAUACCAGUUUUGGCCACAAUCCUACAUACUGUUCCUUUAAGUCUUGUGCAAUUAUGCACUUAUAUUUAGGUAGUGUGAACUUAAAUAUAAGUGCAUAACUGCAUGUGACUCAAUUUUUUUAAGUUCACAGUACUCAAAUCUAUGUGUUUUAAAACUUGAAUGGUUUAAUGCAACCGGUUUUCUUAAAUGUGAGAAAUGACAGUGUUACAGUGAGAAAUGUUUGAUUAAUUCCAAGACAGAGCUCUGCUAUUGAAUCUACACUGCAAAAAAUCACUUUCUAACUUAGGAUUUUUAUCUUUGUUUUCAGUAGAAAAACUAAAAAUUCUUAAAUCAAGAUGUAUUUUCUUGAUGAGCAAAAUUACCUUAGAAAAUAUGUGUAGUUUUUAGACAAAAAUAUACAAUUUAAGUAAAUUUGUGCCUAAACAAGCAAAAAUAUCUUAACAGUGGAGUGAGAAAAUUGUGCUUAAAUUAAGUUUUUAUGAAAAAAGAAACGUAAGAUUUGUUUCUCACACCAUUGGCAGAUAUUUUUGCUUGUUUUAAGCACAAAUUCACUUAAAGUGUGUGUGUGUUUAUUUAUUUUGUCUAAAACUAGACUUAUUUUCUUAGGUCAUUUUGUUCAUUAAGAAAAAGCAUUUUAAUUUAAAUAAUAUUUCUACUAAAAACAAGACAAUAAUACUAUGUAAGAGUCAUUUUUUGCAGUGUAGGACUGAUUUCUUAAAGCAAGAUCAAUAUAGUUGUUGUUCAUUUUAUUUAGAUAUUUACUACAUUACAGUGGCAGCUGGUGACUUGUUUUUUGUGAGCACUUGAUGCGAAGUUUGUCACAACAUGUAUACAGCUCGUCAUUUGUGUGGUUCCCAAUUUCAAAAUAUGUGUUCUGCGUGUCAAGUGCGUGUAUGUGCAUCACGUGUUUUGACUAAACACGUGAUGCACAUGGUUUACAUGAAGCAACAAAAACAUUUUAAAAACACAAGCAACACACGACACUCCGAACACUUAUUUUGAAUUUGCAACCGCCACUGCUACAUUACAUUGUACUGCUUUGAAUGUAGUUUUCAUUGUUGCUUUUAUUUUGUUUUAUUUUACUCUAAUAUUGCUUUCUCUGUCUGUAUAUUUAUAAGUUUAAAUAGUAUUGUUUAUGUA